rnacentral:rRNA from 1 species
UACGUAGGGGGGCAAGCGUUGUCCGGAAUCAUUGGGCGUAAAGCGCGUGUAGGCGGUUCGGUAAGUCUGCUGUGAAAGUCCAGGGCUCAACCCUGGGAUGCCGGUGGAUACUGUCGGACUAGAGUACGGAAGAGGCGAGUGGAAUUCCCGGUGUAGCGGUGAAAUGCGCAGAUAUCGGGAGGAACACCAGUUGCGAAGGCAGCUCGCUGGGACGUUACUGACGCUGAGGAGCGAAAGCGUGGGGUAGCGAACAGG